rnacentral:rRNA from 1 species
GACGAACGCUGGCGGCGUGCCUAACACAUGCAAGUCUGGGAGAAUUGGGUAGCAAUAUCCAUUGUAAACCGGCGCACGGGUGAGUAAUAUAUAGGUAAUAUGCCUUUUGGUUUGGAAUAACCCCGCGAAAGCGGGGCUAAUACUGAAUGAUGCAGCGUUUCCGCAUGGAGAUGUUGUUAAAGCUUCGGUGCCAAGAGAUUAACCUGUAUCCCAUUAGAUAGUUGGCGAGGAACGGCUCACCAAGUCUGCGAUGGGUAGCUGAUCUGAGAGGAUGAUCAGCCACACUGGAACUGAGACACGGUCCAG